UCCCGAUAGUAUAAUAUGCUUAAUUUUGUUUUAAACACGUUUUCGAUGCAUAAUAAUAAUAUUUUUUAUAUGUACGAGGUUUGAAAGUCUAAAUACGAGAAUUUUAGCUGCAUACGUACGAGGAAGUUUGCUUUACGGUUGGCAACCCUGACACAAGCCUACUAUGAUGAACAGUACAGAUCCUGCUGUUCCUGUAACCGUUUUUUCUAAUUCGUUAUAACAAUAACAUUCUAUUCAAUUCAAUAACGUAGCUUUCAUCGGAUAAUUAAAUUUGAUGUGCAUUUAAAAUGUUCGGAUUUGUGAUUAUCCUAACCUUACUGAGCGUAUCGCUAUGCGAAGACCCGCAAGAAGAUUUGGUUGUGCACUACGCGGCUGUAAUAUUUAGACAUGGCGACAGGAGCCCCGUAGACAUGUAUCCUACCGAUCCAUACAGGAAUGAGUCUUUGUGGCCGGUCAAGUUCGGCCAGCUGACGAAUACCGGCAAGCGCCAACACUACGCGCUAGGGAAGUGGUUCAGGGAAAGAUAUGGGAAAAUGGUGUCUCCAAUAUUUGAUCCAACUGAAAUUAGAGUGAGGUCUACUGACGUGGAUCGCACAUUAAUGUCUGUUGAAGCUAAUUUGGCAGGAAUGUACCCGCCUGUAGGAAAAUCCGUUUGGAAUGAUAAAUUAAUGUGGCAGCCAAUUCCCGUCCAUACCGUUCCUGAAAAACGGGAUGAAGUUCUAGCUAUGGGAAGAAAAUGUGCUGCAUAUGAUAAGGCGCUUGAAGAAUACCAGAAUUCAAAGGAAUAUAAAGAAAGAUUAGCUAAAUAUCAAGACCUAAUGGAUUACAUGACUGCUUACACUGGCAAGAAGAUAAAGGAUUACUAUGAUAUUUUAAGUGUCUUCAGUAAUUUGAAUAUUGAGAAGUUCUACAACUUCACAUUACCAAAUUGGACUCAUAACGUGUAUCCUGACGAAAUGCGAGAGCCGGCCUGUUAUAGUUUCCGGCUUCCGACGAUGACACCACAGCUAGCGCGCCUGAAGGUCGGCCCCCUGAUCCAGGAGAUUGUGAUGAACAUGGCUAACACCUCUCUGACUUACCCGGAGGGCUACUCCAAGACUGUAAAACUGUCUCUGUACAGCGGCCACGAUAUCACCGUGGCGAAUGUUCUGAAUGCUCUUGGAAUGUUUGAUGGAAACUGCCCUGUGUACACGUCCACCAUUCUCAUGGAGCUUCUAUAUUCGAAUAACACAAACCAACAUUACAUAAGAAUAUCAUACAGAAAUUUCACUGACAUCCAAGAACCGCACGUACUGAAAAUACCAUACUGUGGAGAAGUUUGCAAAUUCAGCAGAUUUGUAACUCUUUACGAAAAGCUUUUAAAUAUUAAUUGGGACUUCGAGUGUGCUAACCAGUUUAACCCAGUGAUCAGCAUAACCGUAAUGUUCAGCUUUGCUUGCCUUGCGGCGAUGCUACUCACGCACAAAAUUCUCGCCCAGCCUAAGUUUAAGAGCCAUUUAGGGUAUUCAAAUGUGAAUGCUGAUAACAAGUCGCAGAAGAUUAUUGAGGCCUAGAUACUUAAUCUAAAUAAUAUUCCUUUGCCAAAGCAACUAUUGAAAAUAUCAUUGCAUUUUGUACUGCGUCCUAUUUUCCUGGAGAACUCUCGAACAAAUUAAACAACAUGCAAAAUGUAUCACUGAAAAUGACCAGCCAUUGGACGGAAUAUUUUCAACUCGUUACUUGAUACAACUUGGGAAUACUCGAGUACCAAAGACAAAGGCGAGGUGUUCUUUGACGUUGCAUGUGAUCUGACGUGUGACUGAAACUAUUAGAGUGGAGUAGGAAACUAAGAUAAAAAUAAUGUUUAGAAAUAAGUUUUAAUUUUGACAUGCAUGAAAUUUAAUGUAAUUAAGUACUUUUAAUUUAAUAUGUAAGUGUUUUGGUUAAGUACUGUAAACUUACGUAUUUGAAUAAAUAAAUUAAAUUAAGACGCGCACUGAUUAGUGAACAGUAUCUGGGCGACCGAGCUUCGCUCGGUUCUAUUUUUAACCCCCGACGCAAAAACGACGGGGUGUUAUAAGUUUGACGUGUCUGUCUGUCUGUCUGUCUCUCUGUUUGUCUGUCUGUGGCAUCGUAGC